UACAGAGGGUGCGAGCGUUAAUCGGAAUUACUGGGCGUAAAGCGUGCGUAGGCGGUUAUUUAAGUCGGAUGUGAAAGCCCCGGGCUCAACCUGGGAAUUGCAUUCGAGACUGAAUAGCUAGGGUGCGGUAGAGGGAAGCGGAAUUUCCGGUGUAGCGGUGAAAUGCGUAGAUAUCUGGAGGAACACCGGUGGCGAAGGCGGCAUCCUGGACCGGUAUUGACGCUGAGGCGCGAAAGCUAGGGGAGCAAACGGG
rnacentral:rRNA from 1 species